UUGAGUUUGAUCCUGGCUCAGGAUGAACGCUGGCGGCGUGCCUAAUACAUGCAAGUCGAACGGGGAGUAGCAAUACUCUUAGUGGCGAACGGGUGAGUAACGCGUUGGUGACCUGCCCCAAAGCGGGGGAUAACAGGCCGAAAGGCCUGCUAAUACCGCAUGUGCAGUCGUGAUUUGAAUGAGCGACUGGGAAGCUGAAAAGCACUUUGGGAGGGGCCUGCGACCCAUCAGCUAGUUGGUAAGGUAACGGCUUACCAAGGCGAUGACGGGUAGGGGACCUGAGAGGGUGAUCCCCCACAAUGGAACUGAAACACGGUCCAUACACCUACGGGUGGCAGCAGUAGGGAAUAUUGCUUAAUGGGCGCAAGCCUGAAGCAGCAACGCCGCGUGUGCGAUGACGGCCUUCGGGUUGUAAAGCACUUUUAGGUGGGAAGAGGAAGGACGGUACCACCUGAAUAAGCCUCGGCUAACUACGUGCCAGCAGCCGCGGUAAAACGUAGGAGGCGAGCGUUAUCCGGAUUUACUGGGUGUAAAGCGCGUGCAGGCGGUUCGUUAAGUUGGAUGUGAAAGCUCCCGGCUCAACUGGGAGAGGUCGUACAAGACUGGCGGACUGGAGUGUGGUAAGGGAAGGUGGAAUUCCGGGUGUAGUGGUGAAAUGCGUAGAUAUCCGGAGGAACACCAGUGGCGAAAGCGGCCUUCUGGACCACAACUGACGCUCAG
rnacentral:rRNA from 1 species